UUNAUUUCUCGGGAGAAUCUUCCAGGUACCGUANACNNUUANAUGGUACCCGNAAANUUUACCUUGUUACCACUUACCNGUANCUUGGUGCCCUUAACUUCGGGAUUUUCCCGGAAACCGGGGCUAAUACCGGAUAUGAGCCGUCCUCGCAUGGGGGUGGUUGGAAAGUUUUUCGGUCAGGGAUGGGCUCGCGGCCUAUCAGCUUGUUGGUGGGGUGAUGGCCUACCAAGGCGACGACGGGUAGCCGGCCUGAGAGGGCGACCGGCCACACUGGGACUGAGACACGGCCCAGACUCCUACGGGAGGCAGCAGUGGGGAAUAUUGCACAAUGGGCGAAAGCCUGAUGCAGCGACGCCGCGUGAGGGAUGAAGGCCUUCGGGUUGUAAACCUCUUUCAGCAGGGAAGAAGCGCAAGUGACGGUACCUGCAGAAGAAGCGCCGGCUAACUACGUGCCAGCAGCCGCGGUAAUACGUAGGGCGCAAGCGUUGUCCGGAAUUAUUGGCGUAAAGAGCUCGUAGCGGUUU
rnacentral:rRNA from 1 species